AUACGGAGGAUCCAAGCGUUAUCCGGAUUUAUUGGGUUUAAAGGGUGCGUAGGCGGCUUUUUAAGUCAGGGGUGAAAGACGGUAGCUCAACUAUCGCAGUGCCCUUGAUACUGAAGAGCUUGAAUGGACUAGAGGUAGGCUGAAUGUGACAAGUAGCGGUGAAAUGCAUAGAUAUGUCACAGAACACCGAUUGCGAAGGCAGCUUACUAUGGUCCUAUUGACGCUGAGGCACGAGAGCGUGGGGAUCAAACAGGAUUAGAUACCCUGGUAGUCCCCGCCCUAAACGAUGAAUACUCGCUGUUGGCGAUACACAGUCAGCGGCUAAGCGAAAGCGUUAAGUAUUCCACCUGGGGAGUACGCCCGCAAGGGUGAA
rnacentral:rRNA from 1 species